rnacentral:rRNA from 1 species
UACGUAGGAAGCGAGCGUUGUCCGGAAUUACUGGGCGUAAAGCGUGCGCAGGCGGUUAUGCAAGACAGAGGUGAAAUCCCCGGGCUCAACCUGGGAACUGCCUUUGUGACUGCAUAGCUAGAGUACGGUAGAGGGGGAUGGAAUUCCGCGUGUAGCAGUGAAAUGCGUAGAUAUGCGGAGGAACACCGAUGGCGAAGGCAAUCCCCUGGAACUGUACUGACGCUCAUGCACGAAAGCGUGGGGAGCAAACAGG